GCGACGGGCGAUAUGUACAUAUCGAUAUAAAAUAUCAAAAAAACUAAUUAUUUCUUUUUUACUCCCUAAUCCAACCUUCAUAUUUCAUUAGACAUUACAACUAACUUUACAGUUUCAUAUUACAAUAUAAAAGUAACUCAUCUAAACCUAUAAAAAUCUACAUUUUGACUUGAAUUUUUUAUUUUAAAAUCAACCUCAUUUAUUUAAAUAAUAAAUAAUAAAUUAAACAGCAAUACAUAAAAAAAUUAUAGAUAAAAUUUAAUGAGUAAUAUCAAAUUAAAUAGACAAGUUCCUCAGAAUUUAACCAAAUACCGCCAAUACUUCUAAAAUUCAUUCAUAAAAAUCAAAUAAAAUCUUAAUAAUAUUUUUCAUUAAAAUAAUAGGGUAUCUAA
rnacentral:rRNA from 1 species